UCCUCGUUAGAAUAGUGGUAAGUAUCCCCGACUGUCACCUGGGAGACCAGGGUUCAAUUCCCUGAUGGGGAG
rnacentral:tRNA from 1 species